AUAGUUUCGGCUGCCCAAGCGACACAUAUUUUUCACGUUUUCGUAUUUUCUACGAAAGAUGUGUCGUGGAUCUGUUUCACGUUCUGCAUAGAGCAUUGUUGUGUUUGGACGAUGUGUUCUGCAUUGAUUUAGUUUAAACUUGUGUGUUUAAAUGUUUGCAAUGUCAUUUUUAAAUUGAUAAAGUUUCUUUUGGCCGUAGGUUUACUUCCACUUAUGUGAGUCAUUUGGAAAUGAAAAAAAUGCUAAAGUUAUAUAUCGACUCAUACACAAAUUCAUUGACGUGUGCACUAUUGCACAAGUGCAAAACCCUUGGACCCAGACGAUGUUGGUUCGGGCUCUCGUAGUAGUACGGGAAGAUCAUGUCAUGAACAAGCGUAAAAGGUACAAGCAAGUCAACAUCUCAUAGCCUGUCUUGGAGGAACUUUGACUCCAACAGAAAUUCCUGCACUCCUAUGUCCAAGGUAUGGAACAUGAUACAAAAAAUCAAAGGCAAAGGAUUAAAGUCUUCUGUUCACCAUCUUAAGGAUGGUGAUCAGUUAUUAACUGAUACAGCAGACAUUGCCAAUAAACCUGGUGAAACAUUGGAAAAACAUUCGUUAUGGUCUAAUUAUGUCCCUGAAUUCCUAAAAUAUCAGAAACAACAGGAAAAGGAAAAUGUUAAUUUUAACUGAUAACGGGGAAGACUAUAAUGAAGGGUUUUCCUUCCAUGGGCUACAUACUGCCCUUGGGCAAGCUCAUGAUACAGCGGCUGGUGCUGAUAAUAUUCACUAUCAGCUCCUGAAACAUUUGCCUAAAUCAUGUCUUGAAACACUUUUAGAUAUAUUUGACCAAAUAUUGACGUCGGGUAUAAUACCAUUGUAGUCCCUAUCCCAAAGCCUGGUUGGGAUCAUACAGAUCCCUCAAAUUACCGCCCUAUUUCUUCAACCAGUUGUGUCUGUAAAACCAUGGAGCGAAUGGUGAAUAAUAGAUUAGUUUGGUUCUUGGAAACCAAUAAUCUACUGAAGCACUAUUGUGGGUUUCAAAAGUCAAUAAACAUCAGAUUCUGCAUUUUCUCACACACUGCUUUAUUCUGUGAUCCAAACAGUCAAUGUUCAACGUAUACCAUACGAAGCAGGUUCAAGCUGAAACCAUACAAAACAACAAACUUACUUGCAUAUUCUCAUGUCCGAAACACAGCUAUCUUGU